AUUUCCGUAGUGUAGUGGUUGUCACAUCUGCCCAACACGCAGAAGUUUCUGAGUUCGAAACCCAGUUGAAUUU